GUGGUGGUCUUCCCGGGCGCCUCCGACUUCGGCCCGCCGCAGUGGUGGCGGCAGUUCUGGGCCCGCGGCGCGUUCGGCUCCAGCCGGAGGGCGCCCGGCAAGCAGGUGCCAGGCUCACUGUCCCAGGUGAAGGACCACGCAGGCUCUCCGGGUUAGUACGCCUGUCAUUCUCCCGCGCGUCCCUCUUCCCUGCUAGCGCGGCCGGGCAGCCGCGGGGAGAUCGGCUGCUCGCUCUGGUGCAUUGGUCCUGCUUACACGUCGGUCCUCUGCACGGGAAAAGACCUCUAUCUGUCCACCUGCUGGUUAUUCGCCAAGUGAUUCGAGAAACCAGAACUCCGGGGUCAGAGGGGAAAAAGGAAAAAAAAAAAAAAAACCAACAACAAACAACCGAGGAGGCGGCCACAGCUGCCACAGGUGCAGGUAGGAACUUGGCGUUCCCGCCCUCCAGGAGACGAGAUUGGAUCGGGUCGCGUACGUGACGCCGGCCUGGGGUGUCUGAUUGGAGAAACGCCGCGCGGCGCCGCUCGCCGGCCGGGCUCCUCAAAGAAGAAACGCUAGAAGAGAUCGUAGACCGAGAGACCGCGUGUGUCCGUAGGGAAGAAAUGAAUGAUCUGGAGGACAUGACAUUGUGACACAAGCAAGACUCCCCGGCACAUCCUGACUCAGGAAACAAAGGCUACAUCACCGCAGUCCUUUAUGACAAGGAGAACAUCUCACUGCCUCUACCCUUACUACCUGCAUCUGCUCAAAUGUUCUCCAUGGAUCCACA